CAUUCAGCAUUUACAAAAUGCUUCAAUGUGGGCUCUUUCUAUUUAAAUCUAUCAUAAACAAAUGAAACCUGUCAUAAAGAAAAUGAGGCCGGUCAUCGAGCAUCAGGAAGUGCUUGAAUGCAGACUCUUUCGAUUUUAGCUGAGGGCGUCCAACGUCAUCGCAUUUUGAACAGGAGUGAGCAAUCUCAGCAAGAAAAAAAAAAAAAUGAGAACACAACCAACCACCUUUAUAAAAUGUUUUAAUGCAGACUUUUUUUUUCUAUUUGUUUUGAGUUUUGCCAUUUUGAACAAAAAUAUGGAAUUUAAACCUAAAUUCACCUUCAGCCAUGUGACGGAUGACCACCUAAAGCACACCAUCAAGCAUCAUGAAGUGCUUUAGUGUGUACCCUGAAUAUGUCUUAUGAGCGUACUUUGUAGUCACCUCCUUAUAUACUUGAGCUUUAUACUUAGCAGUCCUCUGGUAUGCGCUAAUAGUGAGAGGAAUUCGCCACAGCUUUUGAUGCCGUUUGUUUGCGAGACUAAUCCACACCAAAAAAGCGCCUCUCGUUGGAACCCUCGCAAACCCGUGCGUGAUUUAUGAGCUGAACUACAAUAAACCCUGAGUUAUUCAUGUGGAAAUGCUUUAAGUGAGGGGGAUACGACAACUUGGCUUCAUACACAAUAAAUGCAUCACAUCCUAUACGCUUUUGUGUUUUUUGGGGUAUUUCUUAUGUUUUCCCUUUCGCCGUAUGGGGACUCGAAACAUCGUAUUCAGUCUUUCUAUGCACUUUAUCAGCAUUCAGGUGGAGUGAGACGCACCCAAAAAUGUCCCGCUGUUGCAUUGAUGCCGUGAACGUAAAUGACAAAAUCUUCUCUCGGGCAGGAUUGUCACCACGGCAACCUAUGUACUGAUCGUGAAUAGGAUGGCGUUUUUGGCAGUUUGCUAAUCAUUACCUUACUCGUUAAAAUUCCCCCUGUGGAUCAGAGCCGAUGUUUCCCACACAAACAAACAGUCACAGGCACGUGAUUAUGAGAAAAAUUAGGGGGGGAAAAAGUGUUCGCCAGGCCUGUUGCAGUGUGUUUGACCACCACAUUCUGCGUCUGUCUGACCUUAAUCUGGAUUAGUUGGGGUUUUUUUUCUUUCCUGGAUUAACAGCCCGGGGUUCAAUUAAACAUCAUGCAGAGCAAUUGGUUUGAAUAGUACGAGUGUUAUCUCCACCUCAAAAAAGGUAAAAGAAACCAUAGAACUUUAAUGUUUUCUCCAUGAGAACUGAGGUUUUAGGACACAUUUUAAUUUUUUGGAGGGGCGGGGGCAAAACCUUUUGAAAACGACUAGACUAGAUGCAUGAAAAUGUAUGAAGCAAAAAAAAA